rnacentral:rRNA from 1 species
AAAGCCGGAUUAAUACCGCAUACGCUCUGUGGAGGAAAGCGGGGGAUCUUCGGACCUCGCGCUCAAGGGGCGGCCGAUGGCAGAUUAGCUAGUUGGUGGGGUAAAGGCCUACCAAGGCGACGAUCUGUAGCUGGUCUGAGAGGACGACCAGCCACACUGGGACUGAGACACGGCCCUGACUCCUACGGGAGGCAGCAGUGGGGAAUUUUGGACAAUGGGGGCAACCCUGAUCCAGCAAUGCCGCGUGUGUGAAGAAGGCCUUCGGGUUGUAAAGCACUUUUGUCCGGAAAGAAAACCUCUGGGUUAAUACCCUGGGGGGAUGACGGUACCGGAAGAAUAAGCACCGGCUAACUACGUGCCAGCAGCCGCGGUAAUACGUAGGGUGCGAGCGUUAAUCGGAAUUACUGGGCGUAAAGCGUGCGCAGGCGGUUCGCU